UUUCAAUUUUGCAACUGUAGGGAUCUCAUUGAAGCUAGGGAUUCUGAAUACAAGGCAUGGGCUCAUGUUCAGACCUUGAAGUCCUCUCUUGAUGAGCAAACUCUGGAAUUGCAGGUUAAAAUAUCAAUUGGAGCUGAGGCCAUCUCUCAUGUUCAGUUAUUUUAUGGGAAAAGUCCGGGCUUCCAGAUAUCCUGAAAUCCAAACAUGA